rnacentral:rRNA from 1 species
AUACGUAGGGGGCGAGCGUUGUCCGGAAUGAUUGGGCGUAAAGGGCGCGUAGGCGGCCCGGUAAGUCUGGAGUGAAAGUCCUGCUUUUAAGGUGGGAAUUGCUUUGGAUACUGUCGGGCUUGAGUGCAGGAGAGGUAAGUGGAAUUCCCAGUGUAGCGGUGAAAUGCGUAGAGAUUGGGAGGAACACCAGUGGCGAAGGCGACUUACUGGGCUGUAACUGACGCUGAGGCGCGAAAGUGUGGGGAGCAAACAGGAUUAGAUACCCUGGUAGUCCACACUGUAAACGAUGAAUGCUAGGUGUAGGGGGUAUCGACCCCUUCUGUGCCGCAGUUAACACAAUAAGCAUUCCGCCUGGGGAGUACGGCCGCAAGGUUGAAACUUAAAGGAAUUGACGGGG